UACGAAGGGGGCUAGCGUUGCUCGGAAUCACUGGGCGUAAAGGGUGCGUAGGCGGGUCUUUAAAUCAGGGGUGAAAUCCUGGAGCUCAACUCCAGAACUGCCUUUGAUACUGAAGAUCUUGAGUUCGGGAGAGGUGAGUGGAACUGCGAGUGUAGAGGUGAAAUUCGUAGAUAUUCGCAAGAACACCAGUGGCGAAGGCGGCUCACUGGCCCGAUACUGACGCUGAGGCACGAAAGCGUGGGGAGCAAACAGG
rnacentral:rRNA from 1 species